rnacentral:rRNA from 1 species
ACGCGAAAGGCCCCUUCGGGGGCCGAGUAGAGUGGCGCACGGGUGAGUAACACGUAGGUAAUCUACCUCUGGGUGGGGAAUAACAGCCGGAAACGGCUGCUAAUACCGCAUAAUGCAGCGGCACCACAUGGUGACAGUUGUUAAAGCGGGGGAUCGCAAGACCUCGCGCCUAGAGAGGAGCCUGCGGCGGAUUAGCUAGUUGGCAGGGUAAUGGCCUACCAAGGCAACGAUCCGUAGCCGGCCUGAGAGGGCGGUCGGCCACAUUGGCACUGACACACGGGCCAGACUCCUACGGGAGGCAGCAGUCGGGAAUUUUGGGCAAUGGGCGAAAGCCUGACCCAGCAACGCCGCGUGAAGGAUGAAGCUUUUCGGAGUGUAAACUUCAUAAGAAUGGGACGAAUAAGGAAGGGCUAAUACCCCUUUUGAUGACGGUACCAUUUGUAAGCUCCGGCUAACUCCGUGCCAGCAGCCGCGGUAAUACGGGGGGAGCAAGCGUUGUUCGGAUUUACUGGGCGUAAAGGGCGCGUAGGCGGCGCAACAAGUCACUUGUGAAAUCUCCGGGCUUAACCCGGAGCGGCCAAGUGAUACUGUCGUGCUAGAGUGCGGAAGGGGCUACUGGAAUUCUCGGUGUAGCGGUGAAAUGCGUAGAUAUCGAGAGGAACACCUGCGGCGAAGGCGGGUAGCUGGGCCGACACUGACGCUGAGGCGCGAAAGCCA